rnacentral:misc_RNA from 1 species
AAGUCGUAACAAGGUUUCCGUAGGUGAACCUGCGGAAGGAUCAUUACAGAGAACAUUGCCCUUACGGGUGACUCUCCAACCCUAUGUUAUUAUACCUUUGUUGCUUUGGCGAGCCGCCUCGGCCACCGGCUCACGCUGGUGAGUGCUCGCCAGAGGACCCCAAACUCUGAAUGUUAGUGUCGUCUGAGUACUAUAUAAUAGUUAAAAA